rnacentral:lncRNA from 1 species
AAAAACCCUUCUACAUGCCCCCGAUGUAAAAAGGGGAAACACUGGGCAAAUCAAUGCAAGUCCAAAUUUGAUAAAAAUGUCAACCCCCUAAGCAAUCAGGUGGGACAUUUCAUGAGGGGCUGGCCCCAGGCCCCAUUCCACACUGGGGCAAUGCCAGUGGCUUUCCUCGGUUAGAUGGAAAGCCCACAGUCCUCUCUUUCAGAGCAGCCACCUUGGGGAGCGCAGGACUGGACUUACUCUGCCCUGACAAAUUAGUGCUAAAAGAAGGAGAACACCCUAAAGGGUUGCAACAGGGAUCUGGGGUCCACUGCCUCUGGGAACAGUGGGACUGGUCCUAGUGCGAUGAAACCUAUCCAGUAAAGGAGUCAAUGUGCUCACUGGGGUAAUUGAUAGUGAUUACCAAGAUGAGAUAUUAAUUAUGAUUUAAUGUAAAGGUCUACAUAUUCUUCCCCCUAAAUCUAAAAUAGCUCAGUUACUACUCUUACCAUACUGGGUUCCCAAUGCCCAGGGAAAGGAAAGGGGACAAGGAGGUUUUGGAAACACGGAAGCCACAGGAGUAUAUUGGAACCAAUCAAUCACUGAUCAGAGACUCAUGAUUACCUUAAAAAUUGAAAAUAAAAAUUUUACUGGCCUAUUGGACACAGGGUGAACAUUUUGAUCAUCAGUGAUGAAAACUGGCCAGAAACUUGGCCUUGGGUCACUCAGAAACAAAAAAUUGUCAUCAUCAGGGAAGUGCACACAGCCAAGCAGAGCACACACCCCUUAAUAUGUCAUGAUUCAGAGAGAAGGAAAGCAGUUAUACAACCUCAAAUCAUGCCCAUCCCAGUUAAUAUUUGUGGAUGGGACCUAUUAGCCCAAUGGGGGGUUACUCUGCAGACCUCUUUCUAAUAAUGGCCACUGUUGUUAUUCCUCCCCUACCCCUGACGUGGCUCUCUCAAGAUCCAAUUUAGGUAGAACAGUGGCCUUUGAAGGGAGAGAAAUUACAAUGAGCCCAUAAAUUAGUUGAGGAGCCAUUAAAAGCUGGCCAUUUAGAACCAUCAGACAGCCCUUGGAAUUCACCUAUUUUCGUCAUUCCCAAAAAGUCUGGUAAAUGGAAACUUGUGCAUGACUUAUGUGCUAUCAAUGCUAAUUUGUAACCUGUGGGGCCCCUUCAACAGGGGCUCCCUUUCCCCACGGUGAUUCCUCAAGAUUGGCCUAUAUUCAUUAUUGACUUAAAAGACUGCUUUUAUAUUAUUUCCCUUGCAGAACAGGAAAGAGAAAAAUUUGCAUUUACAAUACCAGCUAUAAAUAAUGAAAGGCCAGCUCCUCCAAUUCAUUGGAAAGUACUUCCUCAAGGAAUGCUAAACAGUCCUACCGUGUGUCAGUAUCAUGUAAAUCAGGCUUUGCUUCCCAGUAGAAAAGAAUUUCCUAAUUGCAAUAUCAUCUGGAUGACAUCUUACUGGUGGCCCCAAUGGAGCCAAUACUUUUGAGUUUAUAUGCCCCUGUCAAAAGGAAUACACAGUUAAGAGGUUUAAUCAUAGCACCUGAAAAGGUACAGAUGUCCUCCCCUUGGAAAUAUCUUAGAUACAUACUAACUUCCCGGUCAGUAAGACCUCAAAAUGUUAAAUACUAGCAACUUAUAUACCUUAAAUGAUUAUCAAAAAUUACUAGGCAAUAUUACCUGGCUUCACCCCACCUUGGACAUAACUACUGAUAAGUUGCAGAACCUGUUUUCUAUCCUAAAGGGCAAUGAAACCCUGGACACCCCCAGGUAUUUAACCUCCACUGCAAAUAGGGUAAUUGAGGAAAUAGAGCAAGCUAUUUCUCAUAGGAAACUAGAUUGCAUAGACCCACAAUAUUCAGUCCAGUUGUUUGUUUCUCCUACAAAACAUUCCCCAACAGGAUUAAUAGGACAGAUGGCCCCAGGGCUGUGCUUCCUAGAAUGGGUUUUUGCUCACACACUGGGACUAAAACACUGUCCCCCUAUAUCCAGCUAAUUGGUAAAGUCAUUUAUACAGGCCACAGAUGAUGCAAUCGAUUGCAAGGUUAUGACUCUGAUGUCAUAAGAAUACCCUUAAGUAAAAAACAAUUCGAAGGAGUCCUGCCCUUAUCUCUAGAUUUUUUCUUUUUUUUGAGACACAGUCUUGCUCUAUCACCUAGGCUGGAGUGCAGUGGUGCGAUCUCAGCUCACUGAAAGCUGCAAGCUCUGCCUCCUGGGUUCACGCCAUUCUCCUGCCUCAGCCUCCCUGAGUACCUAGGACUACAGGGGACCACCAUCACACCCGGCUAAUUUUUUUUGUAUUUUUAGUAGAGAUGGGCUUUCACUGUGUUAGCCAGGAUGGUCUCAAUCUCCUGACCUCGUGAUCUGCCUGCCUUGGCCUCCCAAAGUGUUGGGAUUACAGGCAUGAGCCACCGCACCCGACCUUAUCUCUAGUUCUUUAAAUAGCACUCUCUGAUUAUGUGGGCCAUAUAGAAAGUACCCUUCCCGCUGAUGAACUACUCUAGCUCUUAUACUCCUGUAAUUAUGCCUACAAAGGUAGUUCACUCCCCCAUACCUAAUGUGCUUUAACAGUUUUCACUGAUGGCUCUGGUAAAAAUGGAAAAGCAGCUAUCUGGUGGGAACCGCAUAACUUCCUCACUCGAUCUAGAUUUACUAGUACUCAGCUAAAGUUGGAGCCCUAGUAUUGGUCCUGGAAACCUUUUCCACUCAGCCCAUCAAUAUUGUUAAUGACUCUGCUUACUCCAUUUAUUUAUUGCAAAACCUUGAAACAGUCCUCAUUAAGUCAACUCUUGAGCCCACUCUGUGUGCCCUUUUUCUUUGACUUAAGAAAUUGCUACAUUAACAAACACAUCCUGUUUUUAUCACACACAUUUGGGCCCAAAGCUUGCUGCCCAGCCCACUAGUUCAUGACAGCAAUCAAGCAGACCUGCAGGUUAUGACGUCACUUGCUUGACCAAGCCACCCAAUCACACCAAUUUUUCCACCAAAACUGGAGAAACUUAACUAAACAAUUUCAAUUUACCCAAAGACUAGAUAAACAAAUUAUCCUGCAAUGCCCAGAUUGCCAGCUCACAGGCACAUCCCCUCCUUCAACAGAUGUUAACCUUAGAGGACUAGAACCUAAUCAGCAUGGCAAACAGAUGUUACACAUGUCCCUGAAUUUGGAAAACUAAGAUAUGUACAUGUAUCCAUUGAUACCUAUUCCCACCUAAUUAGCGCUCAUGUUCUUCCUGGAGAGUCCAUCCAAUAUGUCAUUAAACAUCUUCUCUUAACUUUUGCAUUUAUGAGGUGGCCCCCAAAAAAUUAAAACUGAUAAUGGUCCGGCUUAUGCCAGCUCACAGUUUCACCAAUUUUGUCACACAUGGAACAUCCUACAUUCCAAGACAUCCCAUAUAACCCCCAAGGACAGGCUAUAAUAAAAAGUGUCCACUCUGCCCUUAAAUAUGCUCAGAAAACAAAAAAGGGGAAAUAUGAGUAAGGACCCUGCAACACUUUUGGCACAAGCCUUAUUUACCCUGAGUUUCUUAAAUUUAGAUGAUAAAUUUCAAUCAGCUAUAGACAAGCACCUUGCAAAAAUCACUCAAGAUAUAAAACCUUCAGUUUUAUGGAAAGAUGUAAAUAGUAAUGUAUGGUGUGGUCCAGAUGAUUUGCUAACAUGGGGAAGAGGGUAUGCUCGUGUUCACACCCCCUCAGGUCCUCUUUGGAUUCCAGCACGAGGCAUCAGACCUUACCAUGGCUUGGCUAGGACCCAACUCGGUAUCAGAAAUGAAGGAAAUGACACUGCAGGACCUAACAGCCCUGGACGAUGUGGCUUCCUAGGACAACACAGACCCCGGACAUUAUGCUGAAGAAGAUAACUUAGGAGGCUGAGCUCCAUGACAAGUGGCACCAACAACAGGGACUUCAAGGACGUGACGAAGAAGGUCUGCUAGAGCAGAGGAAGUGAAAUUUACCAGAUGAACCGGGACCCCAGGACGAGUCUGUCAGCAGGGAAU